rnacentral:lncRNA from 1 species
ACUUUCGCAGCUAGGUUUUUUUCUUUAGUCAACCUGUAGAAAAUAUAAUGGUGAACACAAUGGUGGAAAAGUCGCACCAAACAGGAAACGAAAAAUAGGCUCAUUGGAGGCGAUUUUUCGUUUUUCCUGCGGCAGCACCGCCGGGAUUUACCCACAAUUUUUGGCUCAUCCAUCGUUCAUUUUGCUCCGAUUUGGCCAUAGGGAUGUUCAAAAUUAAAUUCCAAGAAAAUAAGAGAAUUUUUACCUUUUUUAGCGCUCGGAGGUGGCUGCGGUGCGUCAGUGGACGGUGGUCGGCUUCUUUCUCCAGUG